GGCUUUGUUUUUGCUGGGCGUGGUGGCGGAUUGUCUAUCCGGGUGUUGCGGGUUCGAAUCCCGUCGCGAUCGCCA
rnacentral:tRNA from 1 species